rnacentral:lncRNA from 1 species
AAAAGAAAAGCCUCCCUUUCUCUCUGUCCCCGCCUUGACCGGCUCAUGGGGUUCAUCGGUGCUUCAUGCACCUCCGCCUCUGUCGAUGACCCCCGGAGUGAAUCCAAGUAAGCUUCCCUUUCCUUCUAUUUUCCGCCCCUUUUUAUUUAAAAUAGAUUUGUAAAAACAAAAAUAAACAAAAGAAUAAAUGGGAAAUGAGAAAACGAAGAGAAAUCCCAAAAAAAGAUUAAAAAAUGACACCUUUUAAACUUUGGAUCUGAUUCUUUUGAUUGCUAUUGUGUCUUUUUGUAUUGAUUUUCUGUCUAUAUGCAAAAGAAGCUACAAAACGAUUUCUCUUGGGCUUUAUAGCUGAGAGAAAAAGAAAUAAUACAAAGAAUUUCUUUGCUGUGCUGUUUUUCUCUUUUCGUCUCUUUGUUGUUGUCAUUUUUGCAUUGGCUUGUAGGUACAAGAGUACGGAGGUACGUGGUGGUACAAAGGCUGUCUGCUGGAGGUUGCUGAAGCGACGCAAGGCUGGUGUGGCUAGGGUUUCCUGAGAAUGUUUUCUCGUCUUGGGCUAUUUGGGCCCUAAGUUUGGGCUAGUUUUAUUAUUAUUUUUGGGUAUUGGGCUAUUUUGGAACAUUCUGUGCUUAGGUUUGUAUGGACUAUUGUAAAUGGACAGGACUUAUUUUAUUUUGAUUUAGC